ensembl:lncRNA
UCUGCAGGAACUGUGGGGGACAUGGCAUUUCCGUCCUUAUUCCUGCUAUUCUAGGACUGUUUCUGAGCCCAAGUAAGCAUUUCUCUUGGUGAGACAGACUCUCCUCGAUCACAGGAUCAUCCUCUCCAGGUUCUCAGCCUUUCUCAAGUUCAGAUGAAUACUAUGUAAUCCACUGGCCAAAUUGAUGGAACGUUAAUAAAAUGGAAGGCAAGAGUUAUCAAAGGCAAGGGCAGAAGUGAGACUUCGAUUUGACAACUGGACAUGCUCAUUUUUAGAGAAAAAUACAAAUAGAAUAUGAAUAUAAUCUUUACUUCCUUAAUAUAAAUUACUCAGGAAGAAGUAGCAUGGAGCCUUGGGGAAAUCAACAGCUUCUUCAAUUGGAUUGCUUCUGUCACUGUAUGGACACAGUCUUGUUUGAUGUCCUCCUCCCAUUUGUCUUGUAUGGAGUCUUUUAUCUAAAUCCAAAGUAAUGCAGUCAUCAGGGCUGCAAUUCAAUAAUGGCUCCACAGGAGCUGUCAUCCACAGUUUGCUAUUCAUCUUGUAAAAGGCUUUGAGUUUUCAAAGUACCAACUAAGGUUGCCAUUUCAAUGCCGUGGACAGAUCGCUUAAAAUUCUUUUGUGUUCACAAGAAAGGGAGUGAAAUGGAGAAUGGGGGGACCUUAAAUGGCCAACCUGCUACUCUACCUGACUACCUAGGGGUAACCCCAAGCUACCCAAGAGAGCAAAGACAAUAGGUGAUCUGACCCUCUCAGUAAUGUGACGUUAUGAUGAAUGGGAAACUCACUGAGUGGUGUUUUGUGCAUAUGGAGCUCCACUGCUAUAAUUAGGAGGCAACAAAUUUAUGGAAAUUGACCAGAAAAAGGCAAAGUGAAAAGAAGGCAAUGAGGAGGAAGAGAAGUUCUUGAAAUAUUUUUAGAAUCUAAGCAUUUUAGAAUUAAGAACUUUGUUAAUAGGUUUAGAGAUAGAUUAACUAAAGCUGAAGAUGUUAAUUGAUAGAUCUAAGUUCUCAUGUAUGGCUGCUGUUCUUUGUAUGUGAACAGGCUGUACUGAGAUUACCAUUAUUGGACUUGAUGUUUGAGCUCUUUGGAGAGAAGUAUGGAUAGUUCCCUGUUCUAUUCAGACUCAGUUUCCUAGUUCUUUCAUGACCAUGCUAAUCAGAUCUGCAUUUGCUUCGGGUUUUUGAAAGACCAUUCUGUUGAAAGUAUAGAGAAAGGAGAGCAAAAGUUGAGGCAACAAUAAUGUUCUUCAUGAGACAAAACAAGUGGAACUAAUUUUCAGCAAGAACUUUAGGAGACACAAUAGUACCUAAUUUUGGCAAUGCCAAGAAUUGAGGAGGGACACAGGUAGAGAGCUGCGAGUGAUUGCUCCUUUCAAUACAGAUCUCAGAGUUUGGCCCUCAAUUUCAAAGUAUCACUUUCUUCAGUUUAUGACCACGGUAUAGAAUUUUCUGUCAAUUCACAAAUAUUAGUUUAAAGACAUAUAUGUUGACUUUAAAGAAAACAACACGUCUUCAUUCUUCUCAUGUGCCAUUUAAUGAUGAAUGCCAUGAGAACAGGUGGCAAUAUCUGUGGCAUUCAUAAAUAAUUGUGGUGAAUUCCAAAGCUGAAUCAUUACUUUGUCAUGGUUGGGCUAAAAUGAUCAUGCCGCAACAUUUGGCCAGUCUUGCAGUAUGGUCCAUGUUCUUUUAAAUGUUAUUUUGUGAACAUCCUUCUCUGAAAGGUCACAGUUAAAUGAGAAAUCUUGAUUGAGCAUUCUAAAGGCUGUUUACAAGGACUGACAUCUCACUAGAAAGAGGAAUACUUUCCAAGCAGAUCCAAAAUAUUUCUUCAGAGAAACAUCUGAAUGCUCUGUCACAUCCAUGGUUAAAGCAGAAAGAUAACUUAUUUUGGCUUGAAAUCCUCUUUCUGAUUUUAUUCCUCACAAUUCUUUUCACCAAUAUAUUCAUCUUUCCAAAUUGACAUUUUCAGUGUUCCAAAAUAAACUUCAUGUGAUUUCAUCUUCACAUGAAGAUGUGAUAUAAAGCUUCACAUGAGCUUUAUAUCAACUCAUGCCUACAUGCUUCAUCCAUCUCACAAUCUCUGAUUCAACAUCUAUCAUUCCUUCAAGGCUGGGUUCAAAUUUUUCCUCCUCAAGGAAGAUAUUCCAUUGCCUCUCUCUUUCUAAGUUUCUACAGGUUUUGUUAGCUAUACCAUCCUUGAUCUUUAUAUCAUUAUACUAAAGGUUUUUUAGCUUUGAUAUAUAUUUUAAUAUAUGAUAUGUGUAUACAUUUAAUAUCACCUGAAAGAAUAGGUAAAAAAUAUUUGUUGAUUGGUUAAAAUAAUACCAAAUGUAGAAUGCUUCAGAUUCCUCAAGAAGAUUAGAUAGAGGAUCUUCAAUAUAAAAUUCAAAGUUAUAAUCAUGAUAUUAGCAAGGCAAUUGAUUGAUGUAGAUUAAUUUUUCUAAAUAGUAGCCAGAUGUUCUGGAUACUUUCUAUUAUAAGCAGUCCUUGAAACAACAGUUAAUAGUGGUGAUCAGGGAAAUAAAAAUAGAAUAAUAAUUAUGAAACCAGGCCCAAACUCUCUACUGCUGCUUGGGGCAUUCAUGUAGUGAAUACAGCCUUUACUAAAAUUAAUGUUUUGGACCAUUAUUAGAGGACUUUAUAAUAUUAACUAGAUAUUAAUAAAACUUAAGAGGCAGAUACACCCGGCCUUCCCAAACCCAUCAAAUUAUAGCUUCCAUGACAUCCCUUAAAAACUCCAAGACAGAAAAGAAUAUGGAAUCUCAAAUUUAUUGAGGGCUUAGAAAAUUAUUGUAUUGCUUAAAGAAAGCUUGAAAAGGUCAUCAGCAGAGCUGCAUGGCUUUUUCCUUGGCUUAUAAGACCAUGCAUGAUCCAGUUCCUGUCUCCACUUCCAAUUUCAUCUAUACAAGUCAGCUUAGGCUCUAGCCUCAAUGGAUUUCUUUGUGGUCUUUGAGCAUGCAGAACCUAUUCAUAUUCUGGCUGUUGACUCUAUUUGGAAUAUUCUUUGCACUUAUCAUUGCAUAGCUCACUCCUUGUUAUUCACAAUUAAACAGAAAUGUCACCUUCUCAGAUUGGUCUUCUGCCCGCCUUGUUUGAAGUAAAAUUUCUUCCAUCAAACUCAAUCUCUAUCAUCAAGAUUUAUGUUUUAUCAUAAAUCAGUGUAUCACAGCAUAAUAGAUCAUGUAUAUGACACACUCAUGUUCACCUCUGGUACAGUAGAAUCACUCAAAUAUUCUUCCUCUGAGAUGUGAAGGCUCAUCUCCAUCUUGAACAUCUCUGCUUUGGUCCAUCCACCAGGACAGAAAUGAUGAAUUCAGGUCUUCCAUAUUUCUCUUAUGAGAGUCCUCUUCGAAGUGCAGCAUUUUCAUAUCAGGCUCUUAGGAGUCCAUUUAACAUACUCUCUCUUGACUGGAGGUAAAGGGUGAAGUAACCCCACCUCUCACACUAGGUGGAUUGCACAGGCCCUAUACCACAAGGUUCCUCAAAGAUGUCUUGCCUCCAUCCCUGUAAGUCCUGAUCCCUUAGUCCACCUCAAGGGAAGGAUGGGAGAAUUUGCUAAUAGUUCCCUGAACAUUACUCUAAGUUCUAUAUGUACAGUGUCUCGCAUCUCAUCUUAUGAUUUGAUGUGUGUAAAUUUCCAUCUUAACCCAAACCUCUGCCCUAAUAAUCAGCACCUUUAAAAAUUAUUUUUAACUAGUACAUUUUCUUCUUCGAAAAUAAAAACGAAAAACAAACUUCCUCAGACGCCACCUCUGUUUUAUUUGGAACAAAGCAAACUGGAAUAGGGAAUUGGAAGCACCAAGCAACAGGAGAAAACCUGGAGAAGGGAAGGUUUAUAUCAACUCAGUGAAUUAGGUUCAUCAGUUCUCAAACAUUUUAAUCAAAUUUUAAACUCUUAAAAAUUAAUGAGAACUUCCCAAAUCUUUUGUUUAUAUGGAUUAUACAUAUUAGCAUUUACCAUAUUAUAAAUUAAAUAUGAAGUUUUAAAAUACUAGAACAUACAUGUGCAUAUGUUUAACCAUUAAAGAAAUAUCAUCAUAUUUCAUGCAGCUUCUGGAAAGCUCUGCAAUUCACUCAUGAGAAAAUAAGAGUGAUAAAGGUCAACAAUAUCUUAGUGCUAUUGUGAAAAGUGUUUUGACCUCUUGGUGCUCUUAAAAGUGUCAGGGAUGCACAGGUGACCCAAGAGGCUAUUUUUGAAAACUGCUAAACUAGGUUGUCAGCAACUAGUAUGACUUUAUUUUAUAAGAGGCUUUCAAAAAUACAAAUGUGAAUUAUAACUACUCAUAGGCAAACUUUCAUCUCAGGCAACUGUUUAUAUGUAUAAACCUUUCCAGAAAUCUCAGCUCAGAUAAAGAACCAAACUGAUGGAAGAAAAAAAAAA